rnacentral:rRNA from 1 species
UUCCAAAGGAGAGUUUGAUCCUGGCUCAGGAUGAACGCUAGCGGCAGGCCUAAUACAUGCAAGUCGAACGGGGUGUAGCAAUACACCUAGUGGCGCACGGGUGCGUAACGCGUAACCAACCUACCUGAAUCUGGGGGAUAGCCCGCCGAAAGGCGGAUUAAUACCGCAUAAGACCAUAGAGCGGCAUCGUUUCGUGGUUAAAGAUUUAUUGGAUUCAGAUGGGGUUGCGUAGCAUUAGCUAGAUGGCGGGGUAACGGCUCACCAUGGCGACGAUGCUUAGGGGACCUGAGAGGGUGAUCCCCCACACUGGCACUGAGAUACGGGCCAGACUCCUACGGGAGGCAGCAGUAGGGAAUAUUGGGCAAUGGGCGCGAGCCUGACCCAGCCAUGCCGCGUGCCGGAUGAAGGCCUUCUGGGUUGUAAACGGCUUUUCUCAGGGAAGAAAAAGAGGAUGCGUCCUAAACUGACGGUACCUGAGGAAUAAGCACCGGCUAACUCCGUGCCAGCAGCCGCGGUAAUACGGAGGGUGCAAGCGUUGUCCGGAUUUAUUGGGUUUAAAGGGUGCGUAGGUGGCUUGUUAAGUCCGGGGUGAAAGCCCACAGCUCAACUGUGGAACUGCCCUGGAUACUGGCGAGCUUGAGUCCAGACGAGGUUGGCGGAAUGGAAGCUGUAGCGGUGAAAUGCAUAGAUAGCUUCCAGAACCCCGAUUGCGUAGGCAGCUGACUAGGCUGGUACUGACACUGAGGCACGAAAGCGUGGGGAGCGAACAGGAUUAGAUACCCUGGUAGUC